UUGGUUUAGGUUCGGGUUGGUUAUUUGCGGGUCUGGAUCGGUCCGGAUCCGUUAUUCAUAUAUACAUGCAUUAUGAGAUUAAUAAGACAUGUUUUUGGAUACAUAACAAGUCCGGAUUAGUUUAGGUAUUUAGGACCCGAAAAAUACUCAAAGUACCUGAAAAUCCAAAAUAAUACUGAAACAAAAAAAAAACCCGAAAAUCCAAACAAAUACCCAAAAUUUUGAAAUACCGAAAACGACCCAAAAUUUUACCUGAAAUCUGACCUGAAUAACAAAAAAAAUACCAAAAUAUUAGUAUAGUUUUUUUAAUUAAAAUUUUACUCGAAACCCAAACUAAAAUCUAAAACCUGAACCCAAAACUUAAAAAAUAUUCGUAAUACCAAAAACAUAUCUAAAAUACUCAAAUAGACCUAAUAUACACAAAACAUUUCAGGUACUUGGGUACUUGGUCAUGUCUCUUAUGUACUGACCCGAAUCCAUAUCGCACCUAUAUUUCAAGAUCGAUAUUAGUUUGGUUUCACG
rnacentral:lncRNA from 1 species